GUGGAUUAGAUACCCUGGUAGUCCUAGCCGUAAACGAUGGGCACUAGGUGUGGGGGGUUAUCAACUCCCUCCGUGCCGCAGCUAACGCAUUAAGUGCCCCGCCUGGGGAGUACGGCCGCAAGGCUAAAACUCAAAGGAAUUGACGGGGGCCCGCACAAGCAGCGGAGCAUGUGGCUUAAUUCGACGCAACGCGAAGAACCUUACCAGGGCUUGACAUGCAGAUGAAGCGGCGGAAACGCCGUGGCCGAAAGGAGUCUGCGCAGGUGGUGCACGGCUGUCGUCAACU
rnacentral:rRNA from 1 species